rnacentral:rRNA from 1 species
UACAGAGGAGCCAAGCGUUGUCCGGAUUGACUGGGCGUAAAGCGCACGCAGGCGGAUGCGCGCGUGGGGUGUGAAAUCUGGCCGCUUAACGGCCAGGCGCCAUCCCAUACGGCGCGUCUGGAGUGAUGCAGAGGUCGGUGGAAUUGACGGUGUAGUGGUGAAAUGCGCAGAUAUCAGGAGGAACACCAAUGGCGAAGGCAGAUCUCUGGGCCGUAACUGACGCUGAGGAGCGAAAGCAUGGGGAGCGAACAGG